UUUUAUUGGAAAGGAGGAACUUUAAAUAAACCGUGGAAGCCACAAAAUUGAUCCAAAUUAACUGAGCAAGAAAAGCACUUCUUUUGCCUAAAAAGGAAAAGCUGCAAGAGAGAGAGGGAAAAAAGGUGAAACUUGAGGGUGAAGAUCCAAACUUGAAGAUCCAUUGCCUGGGAGCCUCCUGAGAGACACAGGGGUCUAGCUUCAGACACCUUGCCCUGACUUCUUACUGCUCAUUUAGGAGCCUGGCACUGUGAUAGCCAGGUCCAAGAUCUACUUGGCCAGCAUUCCUGGUACCAGCAGCUCAUGGGAAUCUUGGGUUCUGCAUCUGUGCACAGAGCUCAUCAGUCCUCACUGAGAGCAGCUUGGAUUCACUCACCACUCCCUGGCCACGCCCACUCUCUUGUGAGCUUAAGAAACCUCUGCCCUGGAGCCAUUUGGUUCCCAAAACAGGAUGUCCACCUUUUGGCUUCCAUGAACAGGACUUUUAUGACCACGGACAGGUACCGUUGGAAGCCAAAAGGAGUCAGUCCCCACAGCUGGAGCUACAGCACUUGGAGUCACCUGGCAUGGGUGCUGGGAGCAGAACUAGUGUCCUCUAGAAGAGCCAGAAGUACUCGCAACCACAGGACCAUCUCUCUAGCCCCUGACAGAAGUCAGCACAUGAUAAGACAGGACAAAUGUGCUAGUCUGGGCCUCUCUUUCUCUUCUUUAAAAGCCACUAAUGUCAUCUUGGCAUCCCCACUCUCAUGCUUUUACCUACUCUAACUGCCCCCAGCAUCCUCACAUCCAGAUACUGAGACCUUAUGAAACUGAGGGCUGAGUUUCCAGUCAGUCAACAGUAGCAUGGCUGAGUCUCAUAAAAUAAGGAGGAACCUUUUGACUGUUCAAUCAAUAUCCAUGGGUGGAUGACCCAGAUUUGACAUUUUGUAAGGAUCUGUGGCUGUCCUUUGAGUGGAAAGGCUGCAAAACAAAAAAGAGCCUCCAAGCCCAAGACCUUGAUCUCAUGGGGCAACGAUGUCUCUCUCUACCUGACCCUCACUUCAGCUGAUGGCACAGCUCAGUCAUUGGUUUGCUACACUGAAUUGGAAAGUAAAUGCUAGAAACUGGUGUCUUGUCUGUGUUUAUGUGUCUCUAUGGGGGUAUGUCUGUGUGUUUCUACUUCUGUUUCUGUCUUUGGAUAUGUGCAUGUGUCUCUGUGUGUCUGUAUCUCUCUGUCUCUCUGUUAUGUGUAUGUAUCUCUCUGUCUCUGUCUCUGUCUCUCUCUCUGUCUCUCUCUCUCUGUCUCUCUCUCUCUCUCUCUCUCUGUGUGUGUGUGUGUGUGUGUGUGUGUGUG
rnacentral:lncRNA from 1 species